rnacentral:rRNA from 1 species
UACGUAGGGUGCAAGCGUUAAUCGGAAUUACUGGGCGUAAGCGUGCGCAGGCGGUUUUGUAAGUCAGAUGUGAAAUCCCCGGGCUUAACCUGGGAACUGCGUUUGAAACUACAAGGCUAGAGUGUGGCAGAGGGGGGUGGAAUUCCACGUGUAGCAGUGAAAUGCGUAGAGAUGUGGAGGAACACCGAUGGCGAAGGCAGCCCCCUGGGUUAACACUGACGCUCAGGCACGAAAGCGUGGGGAGCAAACAGG